rnacentral:rRNA from 1 species
CCAGACUCCUACGGGAGGCAGCAGUGAGGAAUAUUGGUCAAUGGGCGCAAGCCUGAACCAGCCAAGUCGCGUGAGGGAAGACGGCCCUACGGGUUGUAAACCUCUUUUGCCGGGGAGCAAGCCUGAGCACGUGUGCCCAGGCGGAGAGUACCCGGAGAAAAAGCAUCGGCUAACUCCGUGCCAGCAGCCGCGGUAAUACGGAGGAUGCGAGCGUUAUCCGGAUUUAUUGGGUUUAAAGGGUGCGUAGGCGGUCCGUUAAGUCAGCGGUAAAAUUGCGGGGCUCAACCCCGUCGAGCCGUUGAAACUGGCAGACUUGAGUUGGCGAGAAGUACGCGGAAUGCGCGGUGUAGCGGUGAAAUGCAUAGAUAUCGCGCAGAACUCCGAUUGCGAAGGCAGCGUACCGGCGCCAGACUGACGCUGAGGCACGAAAGCGUGGGGAUCGAACAGGAUUAGAUACCCCGGUAG